ACUCCUACGGAGGCAGCAGUGAGGAAUUUUCCGCAAUGGGUGAAAGCCUGACGGAGCAAUGCCGCGUGGAGGAAGAAUGCCUUAGGGUUGUAAACUCCUUUUCUCAUUGAAGAAGUUCUGACGGUAUUUGAGGAAUAAGCAUCGGCUAACUCCGUGCCAGCAGCCGCGGUAA
rnacentral:rRNA from 1 species